AACGCACCUUGCGCCCCUUGGUAUUCCGAGGGGCACGCCUGUUUGAGUGUCAUUAAAUUCUCAACCUUGCCAGCUUUCACGAGUUGGUGUAGGCUUGGAUGUGGGGGUUGCCGGCUUCUUCAGAGGUCGGCUCUCCUUAAAUGCAUUAGCGGAACCUUUGUGGACCGUCUCUGGUGUGAUAAUUAUCUACGCCAUUGCCGUGAAGCAGCUUUACAUGGGGUUCAGCUCAUAACCGUCCAUUGACUUGGACAACUCUUGACAUUUUGACCUCAAAUCAGGCGGGACUACCCGCUGAACUUAA
rnacentral:misc_RNA from 1 species